CGGGGCGUAGCGCAGUCUGGUAGCGUACUUGCAUGGGGUGCAAGUGGUCGUCGGUUCAAAUCCGGCCGUCCCGACCA
rnacentral:tRNA from 2 species